AAUUUAUUGACAUACACAAAAAAAAUUAAUAGUGGUUUAUGGCUUCCUAAAUUUCAGAUGCACUGAGGCAAUCAAAUUCAUUACUGGAGAAAGCAAAAAUGGGCCUGAAAUCAGUGAAGGUGCACCUGAUUGUACAGCAAAAUCCUGUUGCCUUGUGACUUCAUUACCUGAGAGCUGAAUCCCAUAUGCUCACCAUUUACAGCAGCAGUUUCUGGUUUUGUGCAUUCAUGACUCCUUGAAUUAGCUACAGCUGGCCUAGCUUGGGGCCCAGUAGCUUCCAAUUUUCAGGAAACAGCUGACACAUUUAGUCUCUUUUUGUAAAUCACGCUGGUAAGGGGAACAAUUGCCUGUCUGUUUCCUCUCUUUCAAAUGUGAGUGUCCUUACCAUCAAAAGUUGGCAAAAAAAAGGGAGGGGAGAAAUUAAGCAGAGGCUCUUUCAUAUUUAGGACAUGCUAGCCAUUUCUUGCUGUAUUCAAUGUUAAUUUUGCUGAGAUACAACUUUGUUGCAGCUAUCUACUUAUGUCCUGAAAUAGGAAUGAAAAUUUUGUGUCCAAGAUAGCUGAAAGAAUGUUUACAAUUCAAUCCAAAGUAAUGAGCUUUUUUGCAGCUCCAGAUACUCCGGAUACUGAGACUGGACAAGAUAACUUCCGUGACUGAAAACAACGGAUGACAUUACUCCUCAUCAAGGAAUUUAUCCAGGACUAGGUGUUUCAUCUGAAAACGUUUGAAGAUUUGGCAUAUACAUUUAUAUCCAGAAGAGAAGAAUCCAUCAAAAUGGAUUAUGGCUAAAGGAAACUGUCUUUGUGUCUUCUACCUUAUGUAGAACUCUCAGAUUACUUUACAUAUACAAAGUAGAAAUUCAGAUUAUAGAAACAGAAUUGCAAAGGACAACUUGGUGGUAGAAUCCAGUCUAACAGGCAUUUACAUGUGGCCAUGUUACAUCAUCCCUCUCACUAAAAGUCAGAGUUAGCUUAAAACUUCAGUUUAAGACUACCAUUGUAGUGGGUUGUAU
rnacentral:lncRNA from 1 species